rnacentral:lncRNA from 1 species
CUAUUUCUCUCUUUGUGUCUGUUAAUAUUUGCCUUACAUAUUUUGGUUCUCUGGUGUUGGGCACAUAUAUAUUUACAAUUGUUUUCAGGUGCUGGUUCCAUGGCUCUUCCUGAGCCGAAAAUAAGGAAACUCCAUAGACCUUGUCCACUGGAACUCGUUCCCAUCUACCCUCCACUCUAUCCAGGGUGAUGGAUCUCUGCAGUAAGUGGAAGAGUUCUUCAUGGCCCCCAAGGUUAUAUCCAUCUAGAACUUCAGCACGUAAUUUCAUCUGGAAAUAGUGCCUUUGCGGAUAUAAGUUAGGUAAAACUGAAGAUGAGAUCAUACUGGAUUAGGAUGGGAUCUAAAUCCAAUGAAAAUGUCUUCAUAAAAAACAGGAAAGAACCCAUAGAAACACAAGGAAGAAGGUCAUGUGAAGAUGGAGGCAGAGAUUGGAGGGAUGCAGCCACCGGCCCAGGAAUGCCAGCAGCCACCCAGAAGCUGGAAGGAAAUGAGGGAUUCUCUCCUAGAACCUUUAGAGAGAACAUGGUCCUGUGAACAGCUUGAUUUUGGACUUGCCCAUAGCUUGUAUACUCUUACUUUGGAUACAAUUUUAUCCAAACUUGGCUAAACAGUUUCUCAGCCUAUGGAAAAUUUAAAAUGGAGAAGAUUCAACUCGAUUCUUACAGAUUCAAAGCAAGAAAAUGAUGGGAACAUAGGAGGAGACCAAGAAAGCCUAUAAAAAGCAAAAAUAUGAAGUGAACAUUGUGGUAGCUUUAAGAUGUUUAGUGUAGCUGCAGGCACCCUAUACACAUGAAAACCCCCAAGGGGAAUCCCCAUAUCACAGUGUAGUGUGAUAUUUGACAUUCGUGAUCAUCUAGAGAUGUACAGAAAAGGUGAAUCUGUGUUCUGUAUAUUCUGCCUAAGGCAAAGAAAUGUUUAGCUCUCUUUAAAAUAGUUCCAUAAUUUUUUCUAAAAAGCUUUGCUUGAAAACUGUAAGCUUCCCAUAUCUGGAGCAUUUCACUUUAAAUAUUUGGAUAAAUAUGUUAUCUUCUUACUUGGACAUUUCAUGUGUUUAGGGAUUGUCUUCUAAAUUCUUCCUAAUUCAUAUAGCUGCUAACACUUCCCGCAGAGCUAAACCAUUACAGAUAUGAAAUAAAGACCUAUUGAUUUGACU